UAAAAAAAAUUUUAAGGCCUUUUCUUAUUUGUAAAACACAUUUUAAUCAGGGGCUGGGCCAAAAAACACCACCGUUUAUUACUGUGAUGACAAAGUUAUGUAUUUGUGUUGAUUUCUCAUUAACUCUUGUUCUUUUAAUAAUAUUAAUAAUAAUAUUUAAAUUGAAAAAAUUAUAUAAUAGAUGCUAAUGGCGGCCUGACGCCGAAUGUUCUGGGUCCAGCACUGUUUUUGAAAGAUGAACUCUUUGUUUUCUCGCUCUUCCAACUUUAUAAGCGAUUACAACAGCUGCACAGCAAUGAAUAAAGUUAUAAACAAAUAAAGGUUUAGAAAUCUUAUCAGUUUGCUCUGACCUUCUGGAUCCUCCCUUUGGAGUAGAUUAUUUUUUUCAAAGGUCAUUUAUGAUGAAAUGCCUUUCAGAUGACACAGAUUUUGGUUAUGUUAAGAAAAUGACAGGGCAAAGACAUCUUUUUUAUCAUUAGAUUAACAGGUUUUGCCUCUUCAUGCUCACAGUGUCACCAGACUCACUGUUUUGCAUUUUUACAGCAACAAAAGGAAAUCACCACAUUCUUUCAGUUGUCUGUUUACAGCCCCCUCUCUCUCUUCCUUUAGUGAGCUCAGAUGACUCAAACCACGAGGUUUCCAUUCAUCCUCUUUAAUCACAUCCACUGAUGUCCGUUUAUCUGUCAUUUACGCACAGCUCUAUUCGCGCUAUUUUAGUCACUUUCACAACAGGCUGUAAAAAGACACUGAGACCAUAAUCGCUGCUGACCUAUGAAACACCAAACAGGAUUUUUUGCGGCUCUUAUCUGUAAUUAGUGCAGUUAGCAGCCCUGCGCCCCUCCCUCUUUCCGGGACGGCUGUGAGAGCGCAGCGCCGUCCUCUCCUGUCCGACACACGCAGACCUGAAGCGGACCACAGCGCGAUCAGCUCCCGCACCCUCGUUACACUUUGGAUGACCAUGCGGGGAAAUAAAUAUCAGAGUGGAGAGUUUGAUCAAGUGGCUGAUAGAUGACAGUCGUGCGUAAAAAAGUGGACAUAAAUGUCCACGCUUCCUUUUUCUCCUGACGUCGGGUGUGACUUGAUGAAACGGUUUGCACGGCGCUUGGUUGACCUGUACUCGCGCAUGGGGCAAUGUGAGUGUGUUUUCUGUCAUGUUAGGCUACAGCAGGGCCGUAACCACGGAGACAACAUUGGGGGUGGACCAGGUGUGUGUGUAGGGGGGUCUAAAGUUCAGCUAACAGCAUACUUUAUAAUGUUGCUAAGGAAAAAAAAGGCUCCUACGCAGGAGGUAGAAGUAUAUGGGCAACUUAACAGGACAUGGCCCAAAAAACUGAAAUAAAUCAGUAAAAAUACAUAAAAUUACUCAAAAAUUAUCU